rnacentral:tRNA from 2 species
GGGCCAGUAGCUCAGGUGGUUAGAGCACGCGCCUUAUAAGCGCGGGGUGGGAGGUUCAAAUCCUCCCUGGCCCA